rnacentral:rRNA from 1 species
AGUGAACGCUGGCGGUAGGCCUAACACAUGCAAGUCGAACGGCAGCACAGGAGAGCUUGCUCUCUGGGUGGCGAGUGGCGGACGGGUGAGGAAUACAUCGGAAUCUACUUUUUCGUGGGGGAUAACGUAGGGAAACUUACGCUAAUACCGCAUACGACCUACGGGUGAAAGCAGGGGAUCUUCGGACCUUGCGCGAUUGAAUGAGCCGAUGUCGGAUUAGCUAGUUGGCGGGGUAAGGGCCCACCAAGGCGACGAUCCGUAGCUGGUCUGAGAGGAUGAUCAGCCACACUGGAGCUGAGACACGGUCCAGACUCCUACGGGAGGCAGCAGUGGGGAAUAUUGGACAAUGGGCGCAAGCCUGAUCCAGCCAUACCGCGUGGGUGAAGAAGGCCUUCGGGUUGUAAAGCCCUUUUGUUGGGAAAGAAAUCCAGCUGGUUAAUACCCGGUUGGGAUGACGGUACCCAAAGAAUAAGCACCGGCUGACUUCGUGCCAGCCGCCGCCGUAA